rnacentral:rRNA from 1 species
ACGAACGCUGGCGGCAUGCCUAACACAUGCAAGUCGAACGCGACCUUCGGGUCUAGUGGCGCACGGGUGCGUAACGCGUGGGAACCUGCCCUUAGGUUCGGAAUAACUCCCCGAAAGGGGUGCUAAUACCGGAUAAUGUCUUCGGACCAAAGAUUUAUCGCCUUUGGAUGGGCCCGCGUUGGAUUAGCUAGUUGGUAGGGUAAAAGCCUACCAAGGCGACGAUCCAUAGCUGGUCUGAGAGGAUGAUCAGCCACACUGGGACUGAGACACGGCCCAGACUCCUACGGGAGGCAGCAGUGGGGAAUAUUGGACAAUGGGCGAAAGCCUGAUCCAGCAAUGCCGCGUGAGUGAUGAAGGCCUUAGGGUUGUAAAGCUCUUCUACCCGGGAUGAUAAUGACAGUACCGGGAGAAUAAGCUCCGGCUAACUCCGUG